UGUUUACUAAAGUUGGAUCCGAACGUGAAAAGGUGAAACACAUUAUUAUUUUUACUUUUUAUGCGCCUCGGUUUUACUUGUCUGAACAAUGCUAUGUGGAAUUAAUGGAGGAGUUUGAACAGUAGAUAAACUAAUAAAGAUGCAAUAGAUUGAGGUGGUGUGAAUAAAAAGCUAAGUGCCUCGAGCAAAUUAUUCGUCCAAUAAGAGAAGAUUUAACUGUUUAUUGAUCUCGUUACAGUUUUGGUUUUGGCCAAUAGAAUAUUCUGCUCAUUUGUUAUGUGUUGACUUUGGGAAGAAGAUUAUUUUUUAGGCUGCAACUUCGCUGAUAUGCGUUGUCUAUUAUUUAUAGCGUGAAAGCUACAUUAUGGGAUUGAUGCUCUGCAUAAUGUUCAAUGCACCGCCGUUUAUGUUCGAUAGGAGAGAAGGCAACUCAACUAUUUCCGAUGCACUGUUAUUCAAUAGGAGAGACAGAGGGAGAGUCAAAUUACAUUUACAGUGCACGGCUCCUGCAUCAAAAGAGAGAAUGCGAUAUGAAAUAAAUGAUGGCCGCAGUGUGUGGCCUCGAAACUGGCUCGACCAGAAGAAAGCCGACUGAGAAUCAUUUCUAGGGUUACUGAUGCUUGCUGCGUUGAGUGGUGCGUGGCCUUUUAAGAAUAAACAAGGUGUCAUGAAUUGAAGAUGGCAAAUCAACCCACCAUUUCUUAGGAACUUCAACUUUCAAUGAAAACACCGUUGUCCACGUUGGCUGUCUUGCCAAGAUCAAUCCAACGCCCCACUCGACUUAAUUUACGGAUUGGGUGUUGUACGGCUUGCUGUGGGCUGUGGAAGGGACUCGAAUUUGUGGGGCGUCAAGAAUUAUAGGCGUUUAAUUAAAUCCAAGUCGUUUUGAUGAAGGUUUACUUAAUUGCUCAAUAAAUCUUGAACAUGCCAUAAGUAUUAUGCAUAUAUAGUACUAAUGACAAGUUCAAACGUUUAUUGAAAAUUAAUUAAGGGGUCAAAUACAAAAACACCCCUAUACUAUAUACCGCUACAUACUACACAUAAAUACAAAAGCCUACAAAAACCUCCCAAUUGUUAAUUUUUGCCAAAAUAUGACAAUAAUACCCUUGUUAAAGCAUAUAUAUAUAUACUAGGUUAGAGCACCACGCAAUGCACGGUGCCGGUGACCUGUUUACAUAUUUUUGUAAAAUGUAUUUUUUUACGCAAGCGUGAGUAAUGAAGGGGAUAACGAGAUGCUACAUCGAAGUUUCCCAUUUCCUGAUCAA